rnacentral:lncRNA from 1 species
CUGCAAUACCAAUUUCAAAAUUUAAAUAUUUGGGACUCAAAAUAAUUUUAUUAAAUAACUCAUACAACAAAGAAUAAAUUUGACAUUACAAAUCAAAUUCAUAUCAAACUAAACUUUACAAACAAGUGCCUGAGUUGAAGCCCCAAAAGAAGAAUUGGGAAUUUUAGGAGAUCAGAACGUUUUUCCUUGGAGAUGGAAAAUUCGCCCACCAGGUGAUAACUUUGAUAUUAGACAAUCUACAGUAGUUCCUGAACAAAUAAAUAUAUAAAAAAUACAUUAAAAAAGAAAAAGAGAAUUAUGUUGCUCAUCGUUCUUCAUCUCUCCUUCAUUUUGUUUGUUCCUAUUCUGUAAAAUAAAAAAAUGAUAAUUAGUCAAGAACAUCAUUUUCAAUCAAUCGCUUAACAUAUAAUGUGAGAAAUAAUUGAAAGAAACAAAGCAAAAAUAAAUAAAUAAAUAUCCACAUCUACAUGUGUAAAGUUAGAAACUAAAACAAAGCAAAACAAAAAAUUAAAAAGUAAAACAAAGCAAAUCGCUACAAAAUCGUGAAAGCCACAAUGGAAAAGGUUGGUGUGAGGUGGGUUUGUUUGCUAAAGAACUUAAUGUCAAAGGAGGUCAAAAUCACUACUCCCGUGGUUGAAGAAAGUAUUGACGGAGAAUCAAGAAAUUUUUUUAGGAAGUUAAAGAAAAAGGGCACUAACCUGAACAACAAAACGCCGCCCAGUGAUGCUCUUUCCAUGGUCUCUAAGUAAUGCAUUAGCAGCAAAAAAAGAGAAGAAAAAAAUAAGGGGAGAUUGAGAGAGAACCGUGACGGCGCUACGUCUUAAGGGGAAUCUGACUGUGUUUGGGAAGGUGAAGUUUUAAAGUGAAGGGGU